GCUACCGAUCUUUGAUAAUUUGUUUCAUAGUUCUCAUAUUUUUAACUAAUAGAGGCCAUUAUUUCUAACAUUGAAACCUACACUGGUUGAACCACCUACCAUCGUCGAGGGAAGUUAAACAUCAUCUAACUUCACAACAUGCUCAAUGUUAGCGACAUCGGAAGAUUUCUUCGAGGAUACUUCACCUUCGACAUCUAGACCUUCUUCAUUUUAUUCUUCCUCUUCUUUGACUUCUUCGAAGGAGAAGUAGCAUCAGAGCUUACUCUUUCUCUUGAAAUAAAUGACAUCUUUAGGUGAGGUACUUGAAGUAUUAGGGUUAACAUCCCUUUGGCCUGGUGCUUCAUUUUUAGACACUUGUUAGGGUGACUUCAGAGUUGCAAUAGGAUGAGUGUAUGGUUCAAUUUCAAUAGCCACAUCUUUCUAAAAUUCAAAAAGUUUUAGUUAGAUAGAAGAAUGUGCAAGUAACCUAAACAAUUCAAAAAGCGUAAAAAGAUAACUCAGUGAGAUCAACCGGUUGUACAUUUGAAGGCCCUUAUGUUGCAAGCAUCUAAAUGAUAGUGUCGAUAUGCAUGUUAUCAUCAAUUAAAAGAUUCUUUUUCUCUUUGACUUUGAGAUUUACUUUUUAAAGGACUCUCAAGAUUCUCAUCCUAUUAGCAAACAAAAAAAAACCUAUGGUACCAUUAAAAAUAGUUUUCCUAUCGAGUUUUUUCAUGUUAGAUUUAGGUGGAUUAAAGCUGCCAAACAUUGAUCUAAAUGCAUUGGCAACCGAUUUCAAAAACUUAGGUUUUACUUGACUUGUAAAUGCCAAUGGUUUUUAAGAAGCACAUUGCGGGAAGAAAAAAAAAAGAACAUGCUGACGAUGAUUUCUGGGAUGAAGAGGCCUUAAAAGUGCAAUACUUUUGAUGGGUUAAAGAGAAUGGAAUAAGUACCUAAUCUCUCCAAAUAGCCUUCUUAGUUUCGUCUUCUUCAAGCUCAAGAGCACAUCGGUUUUAUCCUCCCAAUAUAGGUUUAGUAGUAUAAGAAGUUGUGGGAGGAAUAGAGGUUCAAUUGUGUGAUGUAGAGGACAUUUGC
rnacentral:lncRNA from 1 species